rnacentral:rRNA from 1 species
GACGAACGCUGGCGGCGUGCUUAACACAUGCAAGUCGAGCGGUAAGGCCCUUUCGGGGGUACACGAGCGGCGAACGGGUGAGUAACACGUGGGUGACCUGCCCUCAGCUCUGGGAUAAGCCUGGGAAACCGGGUCUAAUACUGGAUAUGACUCCAUGACGCAUGUUGUGGGGUGGAAAGCCUUGUGCGGCUGAGGAUGGGCCCGCGGCCUAUCAGCUUGUUGGUGGGGUGANGGCCUACCAAGGCGACGACGGGUAGCCGGCCUGAGAGGGCGACCGGCCAACACUGGGACUGAGACACGGCCCAGACUCCUACGGGAGGCAGCAGUGGGGAAUCUUGCGCAAUGCGCGAAAGCGUGACGCAGCAACGCCGCGUGGGGAAGACGGCUUU